GGUUUGAUUCUGGCCUGUGAUUGAACGCUGGCGGAUGCUUUACCACAUGCAAGUCGAACGGCAGCACGGACUUCGGUCUGGUGGCGAGUGGCGAACGGGUGAGUAAUGUAUCGGAACGUGCUCAAGGUAGCGGGGAUAAUCUACGGUGCCAAUACCGCACACACCCUUCGGGGGAAAGCGGGGACCUCGGGCCCGCACUAUUAGAGCGGCCGAUAUCGGAUUAGCUAGUUGGUGGGGUAACGGUCACUCAAGGCGACGAUCCGCAGCUGGUUUGAGAGACUGACCAGCCACACUGGGACUGAGACACGGCCCAGACUCCUACGGGAGGCAGCAGCUGGGGAAUUUGACAAUGGGGAAACCCUGAUCCAGCCAUCUCGCGUGUGCGAUGAAGGCCUUCGGGUUGUAAAGCACUUUGCAGGAAGAACGGCACGGGAUAAUACCCUCGUGCAACUGACGGUACCUGCAGAAUAAGCACCGGCUGACUACGUGCCAGCAGCCGCGGUAAUACGUAGGUGCAAGCGUUAAUUUGAAUUACUGGGCGUAAAGGUAAGCGCAGGCGGUUCGGAAAGAAAGAUGUGAAAUCCCAGAGCUUAACUUUGAACUGCAUUUUUAACUACCGAGCUAGAGUGUGUCAGAGUGGGAGGCGGAAUUCCGCGUGUAGCAGUGAAAUGCGUAGAUAUGCGGAGGAACACCGAUGGCGAAGGCAGCUCUCCUGAUAACACUGACGCUCAUGCACGAAAGCGUGGGGAGCAAACAGGAUUAGAUACCCUGAAAUCCACGCCCUAAACGAUGUCAACUAGCUAAGCUAGCCUUCGGGCCUGGUAGCGCAGCUAACGCGUGAAGUUGACCGCCUGGGGAGUACGGUCAAAGAUUAAAACUCAAAGUAAUUGACGGGGACUCGCACAAGCGGUGGAUGAUGUGGAUUAAUUCGAUGCAACGCGAAAACCUUACCCACCCUUGACAUGUCUGGAAUCCCGAAGAGAUUUGGGAGUGCUCGCAAGAGAACCGGAACACAGGUGCUGCAUGGCUGUCGUCAGCUCGUGUCGAUGUUGGGUUAAGUCCCGCAACGAGCGCGCAACCCUUGUCAUUAGUUGCUACGAAAGGCACUCCACGAGACUGCCGGUGACAAACUGGAGGAAGGUGGGGAUGACGUCAAGUCCAUGGCCCUUGGGCGGUAGGGCUUCACACGUCAUACAAUGGUCGGGACAGAGGGUCGCCAACCCGCGAGGGGAGCCAAUCCCAGAAACCUGAUCGUAGUCCGGAUCGCAGUCUGCAACUCGACUGCGUGAAGUCGGAAUCGCUAGUAAUCGCGGAUCAGCAUGUCGCGGUGAAUACGUUCCUGGUCUGUACACACCGCCCGUCACACCAUGGGAGUGGGUUUUACCAGAAGUAGUUAGCCUAACCGUAAGGAGGGCGAUUACCACGGUAGGAUUCAUGACUGGGGUGAAGUCGUAACAAGGUAG
rnacentral:rRNA from 1 species